UCAGGUCACAAGCACUGGUUCCCCACCCAUGAGAGAGGAAGGCCUGAGACACAGCAUGGAGCUGGAAGUCCUUGUGCUUCACCACCGACUCCUGCUGGGGGCAGUCAGAUGUCAUGCCUUUGUAUCAGAGAUGCUUAGUGCCUGGCUAGAGCCUAACUUAACAGUCAGGAAGUAGGAUGGAAGUCCAAAUUAGAGCAGAUUGCCCAUGGAAUGGAGCUGAUACAACUCUUUAAAGGAGAAUAUGUUGAAAUGUGGCAAAAACUUUUAAAACAGUACACCGGGUACAUCAUUGGCCCAAUACUGUCACUUUUUAGAACCUACCCUUUGGAAGUAAUCCUUAAAAAUUAAAACAAAAUGUUGAAGAAUUAUACCAAGAACAGCAGUCUCUUCAUUUCCUGUUGUUC
rnacentral:lncRNA from 1 species